rnacentral:rRNA from 1 species
CUGUGACGAAACGGGAUGCAGUAACACGUGGGCAAUCUGCCCUUCACUCUGGGACAAGCCCUGGAAACGGGGUCUAAUACCGGAUAGGACUUCCAUGGGCAUCUGUGGGGGUUGAAAGCUCCGGCGGUGAAGGAUGGGCCCGCGGCCUAUCAGCUUGUUGGUGAGGUAACAGCUCACCAAGGCGACGACGGGUAGCCGGCCUGAGAGGGCGACCGGCCACACUGGGACUGAGACACGGCCCAGACUCCUACGGGAGGCAGCAGUGGGGAAUAUUGCACAAUGGGCGCAAGCCUGAUGCAGCGACGCCGCGUGAGGGAUGACGGCCUUCGGGUUGUAAACCUCUUUCAGCAGGGAAGAAGCGCAAGUGACGGUACCUGCAGAAGAAGCGCCGGCUAACUACGUGCCAGCAGCCGCGGUAAUACGUAGGGCGCAAGCGUUGUCCGGAAUUAUUGGGCGUAAAGAGCUCGUAGGCGGCUUGUCACGUCGGGUGUGAAAGCCCGGGGCUUAACCCCGGGUCUGCAUUCGAUACGGGCUAGCUAGAGUGUGGUAGGGGAGAUCGGAAUUCCUGGUGUACC